CCUACGGGUGGCAGCAGUGAGGAAUAUUGGUCAAUGGGCGUAACCCUGAACCAGCCAAGUCGCGUGAGGGAUGAAGGUUCUAUGGAUCGUAAACCUCUUUUAUAAGGGAAUAAAGUGCGGGACGUGUCCAGUUUUGUACGUACCUUUAGAAGAAGGAUCGGCUAAAUCCGUGCCAGCAGCCGAGGUAAUACGGAGGAUCUGAGCGUUAUCCGGAUUUAUUGGGUUUAACAGGUGCGUAGGCGGCCUUUUAAGUCAGCGGUGAAAGUCUGUGGCUCAAACCUGGAAUUGCCGUUGAAACUGGGAGGCUUGAGGUUGUUGGAGGCAGGCGGAAUGUGUAGGGUAGCGGUGAAAUGCGGAGAUAUCACGCAGAACCCC
rnacentral:rRNA from 1 species